rnacentral:rRNA from 1 species
CCUACGGGAGUCUGCAGUGAGGAAUAUUGGUCAAUGGACGAGAGUCUGAACCAGCCAAGUAGCGUGAAGGAUGACUGCCCUAUGGGUUGUAAACUUCUUUUAUAAAGGAAUAAAACGAGGCACGUGUGCCUUUUUGCAUGUACUUUAUGAAUAAGGAUCGGCUAACUCCGUGCCCGCAGCCGCGGUAAUACGGAGGAUCCGAGCGUUAUCCGGAUUUAUUGGGUUUUAAGGGAGCGUAGAUGGGUUGUUAAGUCAGUUGUGAAAGUUUGCGGCUCAAACGUAAAAUUGCAAUUGAUACUGGCAGUCUUGAGUACAGUUGAGGUAGGCGGAAUUCGUGGUGUAGCGGUGAAAUGCUUAGAUAUCACGAAGAACCCCGAUUGCGAAGGCAGCUUACUAAACUGUGACUGACAUUGAUGCUCGAAAGUGUGGGUAUCAAACAGGAUUAGAUACCCGGGUAGUC